UGGAGUUGUGUUGCGAAAUUAUUUUUACUGUUUAGUUUUUCUCUGAUGUAUUUAAUUCGUGAUUGUAAUAUUAAUUAUUAUUUGGUGAAAAUAACGUGCUUAAUUAGGUAAAAUUUUCCAUCAAAAUAGAUACGAAAAAUCCGAUUGUUUUUUCCUGGGUUUUUCGUUGAAAACGACGGUAAGCAUUCGCGGAUUUCGACGACGGGAAAGAACGGCCAAGAAAAAGCAUGCGGAUCCUGGAAGACAAUCGUCAAAAUGGAAGUGCCUGUGCCAACUCAAAUCCAGCGCAAAACUCUAUCCCGCUGAUAUGAAGAGCCGCGAUAUGGUUGCGAUGGCCAAAACAGGCUCGGGUAAAUCCUGUUUGUGAAACGUACGUACAAGUUCAAAAGCAGCUGGGAAAUUUGACGGAAUUAAAAACGAUCCUAGAACUUCAAGUUGAUUCAAUGGAUUUGCAGUUUGCGGCCAUUCGCAUGCUGCCGGAUCGGAACUGUCAGCGGUGUAGUACUCUGUGUUUGACGAAGGGGACUGCUUUUCGAGAUGGAUUUCAACGCGCAGCUCAAGAAGGUUGCCUGAGGCAAAAGAUUUUCCGCAAAACAUUUGAUCCUGUUCUGUGCAACGCUGCCAAAGCUGAUAGUCGACUUUCCGACGGCUGGUUUGAGCGAUGAAACGCUUAUCCGAAUAAACGUUGAGUCCGGAAGCGCUGGAUUUGAAACUCGUUUACUGUCGAUUGAAUGAUUUCCCACCCAUUAGUUUUUGCUCGCGAGAUGAUCCCGAAAAACGCCCAAACUGAGUUUACCAGGUCGCAGCAUCAUGUUGAAUUGAUUUCUCCGGCCGGACGGAACAGCCUGUAUGUUGUUUUCUUCUCGAUCGACCCAUAACCCAUGCCCUUCAAAUCGCUAUCAAGAACCAUUUUCACCCGUUUACAACUUUUAAUGCGCAGGAAAAGCCCGUAAUAUUCAAUUCUGGUUCGGUCAACAUCUACAUUUACGAACAAUUAUUGAAAAAUUUGGCUUGCUCCACCAGGCUCGAUGUGCCGGUUCUAAGAAAACGUUUUGCAUCUACUUAAAAAAAGGAUAGGAUGCCUUGGGACACCAAGAGGAUGUACCUAGAACCGUAACGUCGAUGUAUCGCCGUCAUGUAAGUCCUCUACGACAAUUCGUCCGUGUCGCAGUCUCUAGGGAAACAUUUGUCACUCGAUGGCGAGCAGAUUCGAGGGCACUAAUAAGAUCGUACUAUUUUGUUCCGGUGUGACAUCUACCAUUUCACUACGAUUUCUUGGCUGCGCCGGUGACUUCACGAAGGGGAAAGUAACACCGAAGAAGAGCAUCGCUUUCCGGCAUAAAGAAGAACGCAUAUGAGGAUGGUUACUACGGAUAACCACUUUUGAAGAAAAUAAAAAAUAACAUGUUUUAAAUGGAGAAAUAAAUCAUAUAAUUUAUUAUCAAUAGAAAGUAUUAGUUUCGCUACCAAGAAAGAAAACUCAAUUAUUUAUGAUUCAUUUAUGCCAUGUACAUCCUACUAUAAUACAUCACUUUUUUUUACAUCGCUUCGAUUACGUUGUCUGCUUAAUACGUCGGAAACAAAAUUACAUCGUUCCUGUUUAUUACGCAGAAUGUUCCCGAGUACAUCGUAUGAUGUAAUAUUCAACAACCGAUGGAUUCAGUGGGUUGCAGCUGUUUCGAUGUAAUAUUCAACAACUUUUU